rnacentral:rRNA from 1 species
GACGAACGCUGGCGGCGUGCUUAACACAUGCAAGUCGAGCGGUAAGGCCCUUUCGGGGGUACACGAGCGGCGAACGGGUGAGUAACACGUGGGUGACCUGCCCUUAGCUCUGGGAUAAGCCUGGGAAACUGGGUCUAAUACCGGAUAUGACUCCAUGACGCAUGUUGUGGGGUGGAAAGCCUUGUGCGGCUAGGGAUGGGCCUGCGGCCUAUCAGCUUGUUGGUGGGGUGANGGCCUACCAAGGCGACGACGGGUAGCCGGCCUGAGAGGGCGACCGGCCACACUGGGACUGAGACACGGCCCAGACUCCUACGGGAGGCAGCAGUGGGGAAUCUUGCGCAAUGGGCGAAAGCCUGACGCAGCGACGCCGCGUGGGGAUGACGGCC